rnacentral:rRNA from 1 species
UAAACUAGGAUUAGAUACCCUAUUAUUUUAAAUGUUAAUUUUUAAUAUCAAAUUAGUAAUAGUUAUUUUCUUGAAAAUUAAAAAAUUUGGCGGUAUUUUAGUCUUUUCAGAGGAACCUGUCCUGUAAUUGAUAGUCCACGAUAAUACGUACUUUUUUUAUUAAUUUACAUAUCGUCGUAGUUUAAAUAUUUUAAUAGAAUAGUAAUAUUUAGAAAUUUUAAUUAAAAAAUAAAUCAGAUCAAGGUGUAGUAUAUAAAAAAGUAGAGAUGGGUUACAUUAAUUUUAAUUUUGGAUAAUUUUUUUUAAAUAAAUUUGAAUUUGGAUUUGAAAGUAAUUUUUUAUAUUUAUUAAAAAUGAUUAAAGCUCUAAAAUAUGCACACAUCGCCCGUCGCUCUUAA